rnacentral:rRNA from 1 species
UACGAAGGGGACUAGCGUUGUUCGGAAUCACUGGGCGUAAAGCGCACGUAGGCGGAUUUGUCAGUCAGGGGUGAAAUCCCGGGGCUCAACCUCGGAACUGCCUUUGAUACAGCAAGUCUUGAGUCCGAUAGAGGUGGGUGGAAUUCCUAGUGUAGAGGUGAAAUUCGUAGAUAUUAGGAAGAACACCGGUGGCGAAGGCGGCCCACUGGAUCGGUACUGACGCUGAGGUGCGAAAGCGUGGGGAGCAAACAGG